rnacentral:rRNA from 1 species
GACGAACGCUGGCGGCGUGCUUAACACAUGCAAGUCGAACGGAAAGGCCCUGCUUUUGUGGGGUGCUCGAGUGGCGAACGGGUGAGUAACACGUGAGUAACCUGCCCUUGACUUUGGGAUAACUUCAGGGAACUGGGGCUAAUACCGGAUAGGAGCUCCUGCUGCAUGGUGGGGGUUGGAAAGUUUCGGCGGUUGGGGAUGGACUCGCGGCUUAUCAGCUUGUUGGUGGGGUAGUGGCUUACCAAGGCUUUGACGGGUAGCCGGCCUGAGAGGGUGACCGGCCACAGUGGGACUGAGAUACGGCCCAGACUCCUACGGGAGGCAGCAGUGGGGAAUAUUGCACAAUGGGCGGAAGCCUGAUGCAGCAACGCCGCGUGCGGGAUGACGGCCUUCGGGUUGUAAACCGCUUUCGCCUGUGACGAAGCGUGAGUGACGGUAAUGUGUAAAGAAGCACCGGCUAACUACGUG